rnacentral:rRNA from 1 species
GACGAACGCUGGCGGCGUGCUUAACACAUGCAAGUCGAACGGAAAGGCCCUGCUUGCCGGGUACUCGAGUGGCGAACGGGUGAGUAACACGUGGGUGAUCUGCCCUGCACUUCGGGAUAAGCUUGGGAAACUGGGUCUAAUACCGGAUAGGAACCAUCUUUAGUGUGGUGGUUGGAAAGUUUUUUCGGUGUAGGAUGAGCUCGCGGCCUAUCAGCUUGUUGGUGGGGUAAUGGCCUACCAAGGCGGCGACGGGUAGCCGGCCUGAGAGGGUGUACGGCCACAUUGGGACUGAGAUACGGCCCAGACUCCUACGGGAGGCAGCAGGGGGGAAUAUUGCACAAUGGGCGCAAGCCUGAGGCAGCGACGCCGCGUGGGGGAUGAAGGCCUUCGGGUUGUAAACUCCUUUCGCUAGGGACGAAGCUUUGUUGUGACGGUACCUAGAGAAGAAGCACCGGCUAACUACGUG